GAUGAACGCUGGCGGCGUGCUUAACACAUGCAAGUCGAACGGUGAAGCAGGAGCUUGCUCCUGUGGAUCAGUGGCGAACGGGUGAGUAACACGUGAGCAAUCUGCCCUGGACUCUGGGAUAAGCGUUGGAAACGACGUCUAAUACCGGAUACGAGGCGUGGGGGCAUCCCCAACGCCUGGAAAGAACUUCGGCCCAGGAUGAGCUCGCGGCCUAUCAGGUAGUUGGUGAGGUAACGGCUCACCAAGCCUACGACGGGUAGCCGGCCUGAGAGGGUGACCGGCCACACUAGGACUGAGACACGGCCCAGACUCCUACGGGAGGCAGCAGUGGGGAAUAUUGCACAAUGGGCGCAAGCCUGAUGCAGCAACGCCGCGUGAGGGACGACGGCCUUCGGGUUGUAAACCUCUUUUAGCAGGGAAGAAGCGAAAGUGACGGUACCUGCAGAAAAAGCACCGGCUAACUACGUGCCAGCCGCCGCAGUAACAC
rnacentral:rRNA from 1 species